UGUGUGUUCUUCUGGAAUUUU
ensembl:piRNA 21ur-12189 ncRNA